GACGUGAGACUUCAGCAUCCUCUCAUCCCGCGAUGAAAAAAAUAAGAACGGAGGAUCUAUUGUACAGAAACACAGAAACACACCGCCGAUCGCGUGUUGCUGAAAUGUGAAAUGAGGAACUAAAGCCGUCAGCAGUAAAGCUGGCACGGUUAUAAAGGGCCGCACAGCCAUAACUUACAUCAACAUAAAACCUCCACUCAUGCAUACAGAAUCACAUUGAGGUGCGUACAUCUCGCCCCAGUAGGUGAUUUAAUUUCACGCAAUUUGCAUGCCCUCAUGAAAAGAAUAUUUAAUCUUCCUGCUCACAUGCCAACUGAGCCUCUACUCAAAGGUAGCGCACGCUACUGCAACGAUUCUGCAGCAAAAGGGUCUAACGAGCUCAUGCUGAUUAAAGCACUGGCAAAGGUGUGUGUGUGAUUUACAUCCAUGGAUGUGCACACACACACACUGAGUUGGGACUGGAUGAAGAGAACUCAGUGGGAUUGAUGUUGACGCGUCACACAGACAAACACUGGCGUCCCGUGGGAACGACAGCAGAGCUCGCUUUCGACCCGCGCUGCUGCGUCUCCUUGUGCGGAAUGUUUGCAAAAUAGUGAGUACGGAAAAAAUACGGCUCAGCGAAGGCACCAAGUACAAUGCGGCCGCGCUAUUCAAGGCGGUGAAUUACCCAUUCAGAGCCCAUCUGUGAUUAAAGGGACGGCGGCUAGCAGCUAACGGCGCUAACAACAACAGCGUUCUGUGUUCUUCUGGUAAACACUCCAUUCAACAACACAGGACUUUUGAAGAAAAGACACACUGUGCUGUUUUUGCCCUGAACACCACUUCUACAUUCCUUCUCUUCAGCUGUUCUGCUUGUGGAAGACUAUUACGUCUGUUCGCUACUGAAACACACACAAAAACUAAACAUCCUCCGUCCCAACGAGGGGUCCAGAGUGCCAAAAGGGAAAUAAGGCGAGAAGGUUAUAAACCUCUGCACUAGAGGAAGUAGAGUUUCCCAGCGUUAAGCCCCAAAUGGAUACCGUCAAAAUAAGGUCAGCAGGCUUUUGUUCCAUAUGGAGAGGGAGGGCUUAGUCAUGUGACUUCCAUGUGUCCGGGGCUGCAGCGCUGCAACAAAUGAGGUCAGCCUUCAGGUAAAUGACUCGAACAGCCGGCAGCGCCUCAGGACGGGCCCUGCUCCACACACACACGCACGCACACACACACGCAUACACACACACACGCACACACACACGCAUACACACACACACGCACACACGCACGCACGCACACGCACACACACACGCACGCGCGUCCACGCAUAGAGCGUGACUGGCCCUAGUGGAGGUGAAGGGAUGCAACACAACGUCGGCCUCUCCCCUUUUCUUUCCAUCACUGUCAUCACGCCAAUCGGAAACGGGUCCAUUGAUCACCGCCGGGUUCUGAGGAGGCCGUCAUUCAGAGGGAGGCGUUGCGUCCUCUGUGGGGUGAACAGUUUUUGUGCGAUUAGCUGUGCGGCAUCUAAAGCCCUCUUCUAUUUAUUUUGUCCAUAAAGGGGGAAGAUGAACACUAAUGUCACAUGUAUAGACAUGUUUCCUGUAUAGACAUGUUUGAUAGACAUGUUUCAUAUAGAGACAUGUUUCAUAGACAUGUUUCAUAUAUAGACAUGUUUCAUAGACAUGUUUCAUAGACAUGUUUCAUAUAUAGACAUGUUUCAUAUUCAUAUAUGUUUCAUAGACAUGUUUCCUGUAUAGACAUGUUUCAUAGACAUGUUUCAUAUAGAGACAUGUUUCAUAGACAUACAUGUUUCAUAGACAUGUUUCCUGUAUAGACAUGUUUCAUAGACAUGUUUUAUGUAUAGACAUGUUUCAUAUAUAGACAUGUUUCAUAUAUAGAUAUGUUUCAUAGACAUGUUUCCUGUAUAGACAUGUUUCAUAGACAUGUUUCAUGUAUAGACAUGUUUCAUAGACAUGUUUCCUGUAUAGACAUGUUUCAUAUAGAGACAUGUUUCAUAGACAUGUUUCAUAUAUAGACAUGUUUCAUAGACAUGUUUCCUGUAUAGACAUGUUUCAUAGACAUGUUUCAUAGACAUGUUUCCUGUAUAGACAUGUUUCAUAGACAUGUUUUCAUGUAUACACAUGUUUCAUGUUUCAUGGCCCACGUGAAGCCACAUUAGCUUUCAUUUGAAGUUGAGUUGAAUGUCUUUCUGUUUCAGUCUGUUUCAACGAACAGCAUAUUACCAAAAGCAUUUUUCGUGCAAUGGCCGCUAAAUGCCUUUUGUUGGUCGGCUGUUUGUUGAUGGGCAGGUAAUGUACCGUACUUUUAUGUUGCAUGCAGUUGUUGUUGAUACAAAUGCCUGGAACCCCCCCCCCCCCCUCGCCUCCCCUGUGGCUUUCACCCAUUAUUCUGAGAUGUGUAGCCUCAGGGGACGAGAACUCCUUCAUUCAAUUUUAAAUUCACGCAAUUUGGUUUUGUUUGGUUCAUUUCAUCCCUUUACCUAUUACCUCAUUUCCUCUGUUGUUGACAGACAAGCAGAAUAACACACACGCACACACAGACACACACACCUGGGACAGGGGUCAUCUAACUGAACCCUGGUUUACCUGUCUACUAGGUAAACAGAACAAAACCCAGACUUUGUCCUGUCAAACACAGCUCUUAUCUCAGGUAACGGGAUGGAAUGAAAAUCUGGAGCUCGGAUCAAACCUUCUCAAUCGACGAGUCAUCCGAAAAACAGUGCUUUGCAUGAUGGGAAACUCAACAACCAAGUUGGACUAAUGCCUUUCAUCAUUCAUCAUUUCAUCACACGUCCGUCAUGCAGGGAGACAUUAUGAAUGAUCUUCCCUUAUCGGCCCUGAACAGUACGGCUGAGCUUAAUUGAUUUGUUCAGAGCUUUACUUCACCUUUGUACCCGACUCUUCACUCGAGAGCUUCUCGCCGUCCACCUGAUCAAGAUUAAAGCACUGAGGUGGGAACCAGCGGACAUUAAGUCCAAGAGGGAAACCGACAUCGAGAGGAAAAGAUUGGAUCAAACGCGGUGGGAGAGUGAGUUUUAUUCUCUGCUCGAUUAGACGUCGCUCCACUGUACACAAUGGUUAAUGUUCUGAAUAUUGCAUCGAGAACCUUUAAAAAAACUCUAGACGAGGUCAGCCUCUAAAAUACAUUUUGCCAUUUUAUUUUCCCAGACUGCUGCUCUCGAAGGCCAAACACUCACGGCGCACAAUUACAGCUCAACAAGGAAUAUAAACGGGGUAAAACGAGUUAGCAGACAACCCAGGAAGACAUUAAGACAAUCAUUUAUUCAUCCACCCAGUGAAUUAUAAAUCUAUAUUUGGAUUUCCAUAAAAUGGAGGAUGAGUCAUACCGACCGUGUGAUCACUGUGUAUUUUCGUGGACCAAAUACUAACUCUCAAACAAAUGCCAACUGCAUAGUAGCCCUCACACUUAACAGCUCCACAGGUUAAAUUCCCUUUUAAAUCUCAUUCUUGCGAUAGAACCCCUACCUGACGCAUCACAAAGGAAACCGCCGAGAGGGGAAUAAAAGAGGCCUUCGGCCCCCGAGGGCUUCUCCUCUUCUUCAAAGAACAAUACUCGCAGUCUCCCGACUGUCACUGAGAAGGAUAUUCCAGCUGAAAAACAAAUGUCUCUUCCAAAGAGGGGGAUGGGUGGAUGGAGGGG
ensembl:lncRNA